rnacentral:rRNA from 1 species
CGGGGUGAGUAACGCGUGGAUAACCUGCCUCACACUGGGGGAUAACAGUUAGAAAUGACUGCUAAUACCGCAUAAGCGCACAGUACCGCAUGGUACAGUGUGAAAAACUCCGGUGGUGUGAGAUGGAUCCGCGUCUGAUUAGCCAGUUGGCGGGGUAACGGCCCACCAAAGCGACGAUCAGUAGCCGACCUGAGAGGGUGGCCGGCCACAUUGGGACUGAGACACGGCCCAA